GCGGUGGGUCGAUGGACGGAGAGGAAAGGUAUGGUGUCGUUGAUCCGUCCUGCCUGUGGAUUCACUGGAUGCGUCUUGGUGGAGUGAGCGCUCAUGAGAUUCGAUCUGGUUGUUCUUUCCUUCAAGGUCGAUUUGGGGUCAGUAGAUUUGAUCUGGCAUAAGCUCUCCCUUGUUCUUUUGUGCUUGAAUCAGAUUUGGUGGUUCUCAAUCUUGGUCUUCUUUUGUAUGCAUGAUACACAACCGUGAGUGCUCCUCUCCCCUUUCCCUCCCUGCUAAAAUUCAGUUCCAAACACGAUCUGACGGUCUGAGCCCUAUUUGGUGUUGGUGCACUUUCUGAGUAAUUGUAUGUUCAAGAAUUGAUCUAAAUUUAAAGGAUAAGAAAGUUUACAUUUUCUUAUAUGGCUCAGACCGAAUAAAGUCUGAUCAGGUUUGCUGUUGGGUUGUUUGUAAUAUAAAAAACAACCAUAAUCAUCGAGGAGUGAGUCAUUCUCUCAUGGGGAUUUGUUUGCCUAAUAGUAGAAUUCCAAUUGCUUUUGGAUUUGUAUGAUGCAGCUUACAUACUCCCAUCACCCAGUAACAUAUCAAUAUCAGUUACUGCAUCUGGCCGGGUUUAUAUUAUGCAUCCCUACUGAAAGUUUCAUUGUUAAAUAGAAACGAAGAUUACAGUUAUAGAUGAUAGAUAUAUGUAAUUGUGUGCUGCAUUCUCACUGCUUCCAGUAGAUAGUAUCAUUUCAGAGUUCACCUAAAAUUUGCAAUGUUCAAAUUUUUGGGAUCAAAAUACAACUUUUUUUAAAUUUAAGCCAAUAUAAAGUGUGUGCAGGUUGACUUUUAAAACAUUUUUGCUUACAAGAAGGUUAUCAGUUGUAAUGUUUAGCACCUACAUAACCUGAUGGUCCUGUAGUGACUUGGGAUUGGCAACUAAAGAAACAUGGGUAUCGAGCAUAUUAAUGUGAGAAGUAGAUAUACAAUAUGUUAUAAAGGAGAAGACAAGUAAAUAUUGAGUGUGAAAGAUAAGUAUGAUUUUUUUACUAUCAUAUGAAUUAUUGAAUUUAAUCUGGUAUUCAACCCCUCAAAAUUAGAUUUAAUACAUGCUACUACACCAUUACAUAUCUCUACUAUUAAAGGAGAAUUUGACAAGUAAUCAAGCAAGUCAGCACUGUCGUCGAUGGAAGUUGUCGUGCGGAGAUGGAAGUUGACAAGUAAGUUUCUCCAUGAAGUUGAUCUGAUGCGAAGCUUGUGCCAGAUAAAAGGUUAAUUGAGUUCUCAUCUCCAAUAUGUUUGCAUUCUAACUAUCCUUGUUGAUUCAGUGGUUCCAUGAUGCUACAUUUCACUUGUUUUUCACCUCUUGAUGCUACUAUGGACGGAAGGCGUUUGCUAAUUUGCACAUUAAUUUUUUUUCUGAUAAAAUGUGCCAAUAUCACCUGCAUUAUGCUUUUUAAAUUAUUAAUCCCUGCUAUAAUGUAACGUGCCCACAUAACAAGUAUUCCGCAAUCUUCGCAAGCAUGUAUUUGUUUGUCUAACUGUAGGUGAAAGAACAAGAUCCACUGUGUGUGCAACGGCAACAAUAAAUAUCAUGUCAUUAGGGAGACUUCUGAUAAUUCUACUCUGCAUUUUUUUUCUUUAGUAGAAGUGUUCUGCCGCAUUAUUCAACUAUGUGUGACCAAUCUGACACACCUCACGAGUUCUAUAUAUAUAUAUAUAUGGACUGAGCAAUUGAUUCAGGUCUUUUUUCAAGUGGGGAUGCAGAUUGGGCAUCAAGGUGUACGACAGAGGAUGACAAACGAUUACGUUCUGCACGUUAGUCCGCGUACAACUUAAAAGUUGAUUGAUACUUUUCAUUUUAUAUUGAUGGUCCCUCCAGCGAGAACAAUUUUUUGACUCGAUGUGUAGAUAUGCUCUUUUAUUUGUGCGAAGUUGUUCAGACUUUUCUUUGAUUCAUUAUUUUAGCUGCAUACAAAAGGAGUAUGAGUACUGUUUGGUUCCAUGCAGGACCAACCAAGGAAGAGAAGCAAAUCACAACCCUUUAGUUCAUGGUCUAGGAGCAGGAAGAUACACAUCCAUCUUUGUGAUAUUCUGGUAUGAAUAUGCAUGGUACUACGUACAGAAUCCCUCAAUUGUGUAGAUAGGUCAUCAAGUAAUAGUUAGUAAUUCAUACUUCUGCUUCACCUUUUAGUUAAUUAUCCGCUUUCAAGUAUUUGUUGCCGAAGUGAGCAUCUAAUUGCAGGAAUUCUGUGAGGUAACCAUCUCAAUCUUUUUGUCACAAGGCUCUUGCGCGGUAGAGAUUUUUGCUUGGUCAUAAAUGAAUUAGUUCCAUUCUUUGACAGUAAGAGAAUGGAGCCAGAUGGAGGAACAUCAGCAUUGAUGCCAACAUUUCCAUUCUCUUGUUGUAGUAGUGUCUUAAUUGGAAGAAUAUUUUGAUGAUGUUGAUUGCUUUCUAUUCUCAUCUUUUCAUUAUUUUAGAUCACUUUCUCGAUAGUUCAAUACUAUAUUUUUGGGAUUAACUGUAACAUUAUGUGAAUAUAUGUU
rnacentral:lncRNA from 1 species